rnacentral:rRNA from 1 species
GGCGUGCCUAAUACAUGCAAGUCGAGCGGACAGAAGGGAGCUUGCUCCCGGAUGUUAGCGGCGGACGGGUGAGUAACACGUGGGUAACCUGCCUGUAAGACUGGGAUAACUCCGGGAAACCGGAGCUAAUACCGGAUAGUUCCUUGAACCGCAUGGUUCAAGGAUGAAAGACGGUUUCGGCUGUCACUUACAGAUGGACCCGCGGCGCAUUAGCUAGUUGGUGGGGUAAUGGCUCACCAAGGCGACGAUGCGUAGCCGACCUGAGAGGGUGAUCGGCCACACUGGGACUGAGACACGGCCCAGACUCCUACGGGAGGCAGCAGUAGGGAAUCUUCCGCAAUGGACGAAAGUCUGACGGAGCAACGCCGCGUGAGUGAUGAAGGUUUUCGGAUCGUAAAGCUCUGUUGUUAGGGAAGAACAAGUGCGAGAGUAACUGCUCGCACCUUGACGGUACCUAACCAGAAAGCCACGGCUAACUACGUGCCAGCAGCCGCGGUAAUACGUAGGUGGCAAGCGUUGUCCGGAAUUAUUGGGCGUAAAGGGCUCGCAGGCGGUUUCUUAAGUCUGAUGUGAAAGCCCCCGGCUCAACCGGGGAGGGUCAUUGGAAACUGGGAAACUUGAGUGCAGAAGAGGAGAGUGGAAUUCCACGUGUAGCGGUGAAAUGCGUAGAGAUGUGGAGGAACACCAGUGGCGAAGGCGACUCUCUGGUCUGUAACUGACGCUGAGGAGCGAAAGCGUGGGGAGCGAACAGGAUUAGAUACCC